GGCUGGGUAGCUCAGUGGAUCGAGCGCCAAACCUAGAGGCGGGAGGUCCUAGGUUCGAAUCCGGCCUCAGCCA
rnacentral:tRNA from 1 species